UAAUGAGGUGAUUUCCCACAGUAAAAGUCCUGCAAUAAGAGCUACGACACAAAUAUUGAUGUACUCUUUUCACAGUUGUGUUCUGUGGGUGUCACUGAGUAGGCUGAUACAGCAUUUCAUGGACCCAAGAUCCUUAGGUGGAGUGGCAUUGCUGACAGGCCAGCAUGCGGACAGGCCAGGGCCCAUAUACACAAAGGAACUCAAAGGAUUUUAGGAUUUUUGCCUUCACACUGAGUACAUGUUACAUCUUCUCCUGCCACGCCCUCUACUUCUCACCCUGUGUCUCCCUAACCUGCCACCACCGCCCCAGUGCACUCUCCCUCUCUCGCUCUGUGUGGGUGUAUCUGAUUGUUUCUGUCCGCUCUGACUCUGGUCCCUGUCGCCAGUCCCUCGUCUCAUCAGUCCUGCUUCCCUGCCCUGGACCCCCGCUCUUCUGCUUCCUUGGAUUUCGCUCUGGACCUGCUUACCCUGCCCCUGCUCCCCUUGCCGCAGCUUCAGUUCCUGGUUCCCUGCUACCUGCCCGAGCUCCCCCUGGCCUGCACCCCAUCUCCCCCCCGCUUUUCAAUAAAUACCUUGGUU